GCCUCUCCACCGCCCGACCACCCCGCCCCCCGCCGGCGACCAGCCACCCUACGCCCCGCCGCCUCCCGGCCACCCCCGCGCCUCGCCGCCGCCCGGCCACCCCGCGCCUCGCUGCUGCCGCCCAUCCUACGGUGGUCGCUAUUCCCAUCCCUAUCUCCGCGCAACGCCACCCCCAAUCGGACCCGACCAAAUCACGUCGCCAUGGCGCGGUGUCUCCAUCUCCCGACGACGGAGCAGCACCUCCCCGACGGCGUGCCUACCACCGCCGACGAGGAACUCUGCCCCAAGCCUCCUCCCCCCUCCUCACGUCCGGAUGGGCAAGAUCCAGCCGGCGAUGAAGCCUAUCCCACCGGCGCAGCUCCCCAUCGCCAUUGCGCUGCUCCUUCCCCGCGUGUCUCCAGUUCCCCUCGCUGCUCAGAUUGGUGUGCCGCGGUGCCGCCACCCAGGUCAAUUUCAUUCCUUCAGCCCUGCAUCUCCUUGAUGGCUCGUUGGAUCACUUCUACAUAAUCAGUUCUUUGACAUGUGUGUUGCACGGUAGGUGUUUGCAGUAAUGCUUGAGCACAGCACCAACAGUCGCCGCGGUCACUUCAUCCCUGAACUGCCACGCGCCGCCUGCGGCCUUGCUUCUUCCCCUGUCUUCUGCCCGGGCGAACCCCCUUUUCUCCUCCCAGGCACAGCUGCAACCUCCUUCUCAGUCCAAAUUGAGCGCUGGUUGUCGUACAAGUUGGAUCCUGGCUACAGUCUUCGCCAUAGAAGCCAUCAUCCCUGUUCUGAACUACCAACAGCCUCUGCUAAUGUGCACAAAAUUCAAGUUCAAUAAAACAAAAAAUGGAAGGUCAGAUAUGUCCGUUCAACCACCGCCAACCGAGGUCGUUCAACGACGCGCCGGGCAAAGAAUAUCAAGUAAAUAAGCAACUUCGACAUGCCAAUGGGACCUUUUUAUUAAGGGCUUUGACUACGACUGAUGGAAGUUGGUAUUCUGUGACGUUGCGCUCAGCGGCAGGAGGGCGAGGAUCUCUUCUUCUCGGCAGUACAACUGCACCCUCCGGCGCCGUUCACGAGAAGAGCUACGUGCAGGCCACCUGUGCUCCACCCUGGAUUUUUUCAAUAAUCAGGUCGUCGUCGUCAGGGUUCCUGCCCCACGGCAGUCAUACUGGCUCAUGCGCCACUGUCGUCGGUCCUUUUUCGGUUGGAGAUAGGUAGCGCCCCCAGGGAGCCCCUUCUUCAGUGGUUCAUUGGUCUGUCAAGUAUGAAGGAGGUUCAAAGAUUGUCGUGGAUCAAGUUAAAGAGUUUAGUACACCUGCGUCAGUCGGCCACCGUAGGAUGUAGCUACUACUCUCUCAAGUCAUAGGCUGCGGUUGCUACUUCUUUGUACUCGUAAUUUGUUAUUUCUUUGCAACCAGAUGUGACAGACGGAUGCAAGAGGCAAAGUGUCCUAUUUGUUAGAUGUUCAGUACAGAUUUUUCUCUAAGAAAAAAACAACGGGAGGCAACAGUUUUGAAUGUGCUAGUUGUAAGUAACUUAGUUGUUAGAUGGUCAUUUCAGAUUUUUGUAGAUGCAACAACUAGUUUGUUUGCUUGUGCUAGUUGAACUGGUCUUGGUUCAGAUAUUUCUCUGAGAAAAAUGAGCGCAAUGAUGGGCCACUAGCUUAAUUUCUAGGCGCACACGACAUCUUUGGUCGCGUGGUCGGCACCAUUAUCUUAAAUAUUUGUUUCUGCACUAAGUUUCUUAAUGUAUUUUGUUCGCAAAAUUUUAGUGAAAAUUUUACCUCACGUUACUCGUGAUCUCGCAACUGUAUGUUCACCCGUGAAGGUAUCUCUCAUUGCUUAUUGUUACAUUAAUUUCCGUGAUAAGAAAGGUUUACAUUAAAAGUAACAUCAUAUAGGAAAAAUGCUUCUAUUCUAACACAUUUUUUU